GAUGAACGCUAGCGGCAGGCCUAAUACAUGCAAGUCGAGCGGUAAGGCUCUUUCGGGAGUACACGAGCGGCGGACGGGUGCGUAACGCGUAUACAACUUGCCCUUUAACGGGGGAUAGCCUGAAGAAAUUCAGAUUAAUACCCCAUAUGAUGGUGGAACCGCAUGGUUCAGCCAUGAAAACUCCGGUGUUAAAGGAUGGGUAUGCGUGACAUUAGAUAGUUGGUGAGGUAACGGCUCACCAAGUCAACGAUGUCUAGCUGGUCUGAGAGGAUGAUCAGCCACACUGGGACUGAGACACGGCCCAG
rnacentral:rRNA from 1 species